GACGGAGGAUGCAAGCGUUAUCCGGAAUGAUUGGGCGUAAAGAGCUCGUAGGCGGUUUGUCGCGUCUGCUGUGAAAACUCGGGGCUUAACCCCGGGCUGCAGUGGGUACGGGCAGACUAGAGUGCGGUAGGGGAGACUGGAAUUCCUGGUGUAGCGGUGAAAUGCGCGAUAUCAGGAGGAACACCGGUGGCGAAGGCGGGUCUCUGGGCCGUAACUGACGCUGAGGAGCGAAAGCGUGGGGAGCGAACAGG
rnacentral:rRNA from 1 species